GUGAUUCUCCUGGGUCAGCCUCCGGAGUAGCUGGGAUUACAGUUUUUCUUCCCAGGGUCUCCCCAAGAGCUGCUUCCUUUGACUCCUGCUGUGUGUAGUUCUGCUGACAAUGACCUGGACAGCUCUGCGCCAUGCACAGCGUCUCUUUUCUCCGACUUACCAAAUUUUAGACACUACUGACUCCUCCAUGUGAAAGAUGGGAAUUCAGCUACAUCACAUUACCCUACAAACUUUAUUGUUAAUAUUUCUUCCCGGUCAGCCCCAAACACUGAAUGUAAAUACGGUCCAACAUCAACCUGCAAACGAACACUGACAUGAAAGUGCAGUUGGAAAGGAUCUCGCAAAGGAACAGAAUCUGGUGAUCCUAAUCGUAAUGAACGUGAUCGCCGGGUAUUGAGAGCUUGCAGGUACCAGGGCUCCGGCACUACGUGUUUCACAGGGGCCACUCGGUAGACCUCUUGGUGACCUUGAGGUCAGGUACCACGUUCCCAUUUUACAGAGGAGGAAACUGAGAUAACCUACGACAGCGAAAAGGUAGCAGAGCUGGGACUGGUGCCCAGGCUCGCCGAGUGGAAAAGCCCUCGGCCACCGUGGAGAGCUCGCUUCCUGUGGUCUGAAGCGUCGCCCCUGCACCGGCUUCUGCUGCCAAGGAUGGCUUUUCCUCACUGGUGCCCACCUACGCUCACUUGUGUCAUGUGGUUAAGCCCUUUUGGCAACAUAAGACCUUUCCCAAGAAUGUGCCUCGGUGCAGAGGAAGACGGUGGGGGCAGGCCCCCUCCCCGGGAUGCUCCACCCUCCCUGACCUCACACGGGUGCAACCUGGGCCGUGGCCGAGACCUGCUGUGUGGCAGACAAUGGGAAGCCUGUGUGUCGUCCUGGGUGCCGGAUUUAGACAAUAUUUAGCUUUCCCUUGGUGGAAAAGCCUUUCCCCUCCUGCUUUGGGCAGGAACUGGUUCCUGUUGGGCGGGGCCUGGCUGCUGCCCCACCCCCACCCGGCCGGGCACCUUGACCGGCAGCUCUCCGGGCUGCUCCCUGCCUGUGUCCCUGAGCACUGACUCCAGAGGUUUAAUCAUUAACGGGCACGUUUGGCCUUCGGUCGUGGGCUGGAAUUUGGGACCUGUGCCCGGGAACAAUGAUCUCCGACACAUUAUUUUGUGUAAAAUCACUUUUAGCUGCCAUUAGCUAAUAAAGCUGGAAUAAAGUGAGGUCCAUUAACCA
rnacentral:lncRNA from 1 species